rnacentral:lncRNA from 1 species
UGGAGCCAGACCCUCCUGAAUGAGGAGCAUGACUGCAGGUGACCCUUGAAGGCGCUAUGGGUGCGGGCUCUCGGGCCUGAGGUGCAGCCUGGGGAGGGGCACAGCUGAGGCCUGGCCUCGAGCGCGCUCCCAGCCUCAGCCCUUCCCGGGGGCUGCUCUGCCUGGUGGACAGGAUCACAGGACGGCACGGAGAGCAGGAACCACGCCCCUCCUCAACCCCUGCUCAGAAGGUGUCUUAUACGGCCGGCCUCGGUCCCUUUCACAAGCUCUCCGGCGGAACACUUGAGCCUUCAAACGACCGCCCUUCGCAAGCAUCCCGGAAGCCCCGCCCCGGCGUGGGUCCUGGGGAUGGGGAGAGAAGGAGACGCUCAAGGUUCCCCUGUCCUACUCAGUAGCUGAUUGCAGCCUCCUAAAAAAUGAAAUGCAUUCACCCGGAGUGGAGCGCUCCAAAGACCCUUUGAAGGGAAGCGGAGGUAAAAGGCUGCCUGGGAAAUGUCACCGGCUAAUGAAUGCUGCUUCGCUGCCAUAGCUGAGGCGUCAGUCAGACGCGUGCGGAGAGAAUGAUAGCCAUCCUCAUUAGGAAUUCAGGAUGACUGCUUCUGCUCUUCUGAACCCAAGGGGCCUUGGCUGAGCCCCCUCCCUCCCACCCCAUCCUGUUGUUCUGCUGUUAACAGAAAUAAUAAAUAUAAAUAUAAGAGAAAUAACAAAUAACACCAAGCUCCCAAGGUUACGGUGAGAAUUAAAUAAGAUAAUACGUGAAAUUCCCUAGCAAAAGGUGAAAUAUGCUAUACAAAGUGGAGACAGAUGAAGCCUAGGAUGAAAAUCCAUCUGCAGGCUGUAAACCCUUCAAGGGCCACGGCUGUGCCCUUUUAAUGGUAUAAACUCACAGGUGGUCUGGUGCACAAUAGAUGCUCAAGAAACCAAGGAAGGAGGAGGGAAAGAGUGGGGACAAUUCAAGGUGGAACCAAGCCCACAGGAGGGCCAAGUCAGAGGCCCCCCGACUUCCCCCCACUCCCCAAAAUGAUAAUAAUUGUGACCCAGUUACCUGC